rnacentral:rRNA from 1 species
UACGUAGGGAGCGAGCGUUGUCCGGAUUUACUGGGUGUAAAGGGUGCGUAGGCGGCUUGGCAAGUCAGACGUGAAAUGCAGAGGCUUAACUUCUGAACUGCGUUUGAAACUGUCGGGCUUGAGUGAAGCAGAGGCAGGCGGAAUUCCCGGUGUAGCGGUGAAAUGCGUAGAGAUCGGGAGGAACACCAGUGGCGAAGGCGGCCUGCUGGGCUUUAACUGACGCUGAGGCACGAAAGCGUGGGGAG